GAUGAACGCUGGCGGCGUGCUUAACACAUGCAAGUCGAACGGUGAAAGAGAGCUUGCUCUCUGGAUCAGUGGCGAACGGGUGAGUAACACGUGAGCAACCUGCCCUUGACUCUGGGAUAAGCACUGGAAACGGUGUCUAAUACCGGAUACGAGCUUCAGUCGCAUGGCUAGGAGCUGGAAAGAAUUUCGGUCAAGGAUGGACUCGCGGCCUAUCAGCUAGUUGGUGAGGUAAUGGCCCACCAAGGCGACGACGGGUAGCCGGCCUGAGAGGGUGACCGGCCACACUGGGACUGAGACACGGCCCAGACUCCUACGGGAGGCAGCAGUGGGAAUAUUGCACAAUGGGCGCAAGCCUGAUGCAGCAACGCCGCGUGAGGGACGACGGCCU
rnacentral:rRNA from 1 species